rnacentral:rRNA from 1 species
GGUUAAGCGACUAAGCGUACACGGUGGAUGCCCUGGCAGUCAGAGGCGAUGAAGGACGUGCUAAUCUGCGAAAAGCGUCGGUAAGGUGAUAUGAACCGUUACAGCCGGCGAUGUCCGAAUGGGGAAACCCAGUGCAAUUCGUUGCACUAUCGUUAACUGAAUACAUAGGUUAACGAGGCGAACCGGGGGAACUGAAACAUCUAAGUACCCCGAGGAAAAGAAAUCAACCGAGAUUCCCCCAGUAGCGGCGAGCGAACGGGGAGCAGCCCAGAGUCUGAAUCAGCUUGUGUGUUAGUGGAACGGUCUGGAAAGUCCGACGGUACAGGGUGAUAGUCCCGUACACCAAAAUGCACAGGCUGUGAACUCGAAGAGUAGGGCGGGACACGUGGUAUCCUGUCUGAAUAUGGGGGGACCAUCCUCCAAGGCUAAAUACUCCUGACUGACCGAUAGUGAACCAGUACCGUGAGGGAAAGGCGAAAAGAACCCCGGCGAGGGGAGUGAAAAAGAACCUGAAACCGUGUACGUACAAGCAGUGGGAGCACCUUCGGGUGUGACUGCGUACCUUUUGUAUAAUGGGUCAGCGACUUAUAUUCUGUAGCAAGGUUAACCGUAUAGGGGAGCCGCAGGGAAACCGAGUCUUAACUGGGCGUUAAGUUGCAGGGUAUAGACCCGAAACCCGGUGAUCUAGCCAUGGGCAGGUUGAAGGUUGGGUAACACUAACUGGAGGACCGAACCGACUAAUGUUGAAAAAUUAGCGGAUGACUUGUGGCUGGGGGUGAAAGGCCAAUCAAACCGGGAGAUAGCUGGUUCUCCCCGAAAGCUAUUUAGGUAGCGCCUCGUGAAUUCAUCUUCGGGGGUAGAGCACUGUUUCGGCUAGGGGGUCAUCCCGACUUACCAACCCGAUGCAAACUACGAAUACCGAAGAAUGUUAUCACGGGAGACACACGGCGGGUGCUAACGUCCGUCGUGAAGAGGGAAACAACCCAGACCGCCAGCUAAGGUCCCAAAGUCAUGGUUAAGUGGGAAACGAUGUGGGAAGGCACAGACAGCCAGGAUGUUGGCUUAGAAGCAGCCAUCAUUUAAAGAAAGCGUAAUAGCUCACUGGUCGAGUCGGCCUGCGCGGAAGAUGUAACGGGGCUAAACCAUGCACCGAAGCUGCGGCAGCGACACUAUGUGUUGUUGGGUAGGGGAGCGUUCUGUAAGCCUGCGAAGGUGACCUGUGAGGGUUGCUGGAGGUAUCAGAAGUGCGAAUGCUGACAUAAGUAACGAUAAAGCGGGUGAAAAGCCCGCUCGCCGGAAGACCAAGGGUUCCUGUCCAACGUUAAUCGGGGCAGGGUGAGUCGACCCCUAAGGCGAGGCCGAAAGGCGUAGUCGAUGGGAAACAGGUUAAUAUUCCUGUACUUGGUGUUACUGCGAAGGGGGGACGGAGAAGGCUAUGUUAGCCGGGCGACGGUUGUCCCGGUUUAAGCAUGUAGGCUGGUUGUCCAGGCAAAUCCGGAUAAUCAAGGCUGAGGUGUGAUGACGAGGCACUACGGUGCUGAAGUAACAAAUGCCCUGCUUCCAGGAAAAGCCUCUAAGCAUCAGGUAACAUUAAAUCGUACCCCAAACCGACACAGGUGGUCAGGUAGAGAAUACCAAGGCGCUUGAGAGAACUCGGGUGAAGGAACUAGGCAAAAUGGUGCCGUAACUUCGGGAGAAGGCACGCUGGUGUGUAGGUGAAGUCCCUGCGGAUGGAGCUGAGACCAGUCGAAGAUACCAGCUGGCUGCAACUGUUUAUUAAAAACACAGCACUGUGCAAACACGAAAGUGGACGUAUACGGUGUGACGCCUGCCCGGUGCCGGAAGGUUAAUUGAUGGGGUUAUCCGUAAGGAGAAGCUCUUGAUCGAAGCCCCGGUAAACGGCGGCCGUAACUAUAACGGUCCUAAGGUAGCGAAAUUCCUUGUCGGGUAAGUUCCGACCUGCACGAAUGGCGUAAUGAUGGCCAGGCUGUCUCCACCCGAGACUCAGUGAAAUUGAACUCGCUGUGAAGAUGCAGUGUACCCGCGGCAAGACGGAAAGACCCCGUGAACCUUUACUAUAGCUUGACACUGAACAUUGAGCCUUGAUGUGUAGGAUAGGUGGGAGGCUUUGAAGCGUGGACGCCAGUCUGCGUGGAGCCAACCUUGAAAUACCACCCUUUAAUGUUUGAUGUUCUAACGUUGGCCCCUGACCGGGGUUGCGGACAGUGUCUGGUGGGUAGUUUGACUGGGGCGGUCUCCUCCCAAAGCGUAACGGAGGAGCACGAAGGUUAGCUAAUCCUGGUCGGACAUCAGGAGGUUAGUGCAAUGGCAUAAGCUAGCUUGACUGCGAGCGUGACGGCGCGAGCAGGUGCGAAAGCAGGUCAUAGUGAUCCGGUGGUUCUGAAUGGAAGGGCCAUCGCUCAACGGAUAAAAGGUACUCCGGGGAUAACAGGCUGAUACCGCCCAAGAGUUCAUAUCGACGGCGGUGUUUGGCACCUCGAUGUCGGCUCAUCACAUCCUGGGGCUGAAGUAGGUCCCAAGGGUAUGGCUGUUCGCCAUUUAAAGUGGUACGCGAGCUGGGUUUAGAACGUCGUGAGACAGUUCGGUCCCUAUCUGCCGUGGGCGCUGGAGAAUUGAGGGGGGCUGCUCCUAGUACGAGAGGACCGGAGUGGACGCAUCACUGGUGUUCGGGUUGUCAUGCCAAUGGCACUGCCCGGUAGCUAAAUGCGGAAGAGAUAAGUGCUGAAAGCAUCUAAGCACGAAACUUGCCCCGAGAUGAGUUCUCCCUGAGACUUUAAGUCUCCUGAAGGAACGUUAAAGACGAUGACGUUGAUAGGCCGGGUGUGUAAGCGCAGCGAUGCGUUGAGCUAACCGGUACUAAUGAACCGUGAGGCUUAACCUU